rnacentral:misc_RNA from 1 species
CGAAACCCGCGUUAGGGAUAGCAGCGUAAAGCCCACAGUUCCGUUGAGUCUCAAACUCAAUCGGACGAGGACUUGUAGCGAAUAGCCCGACUUAUA